rnacentral:rRNA from 1 species
UACGGAGGAUCCAAGCGUUAUCCGGAAUCAUUGGGUUUAAAGGGUCCGUAGGCGGUUUGGUAAGUCAGUGGUGAAAGCCCAUCGCUUAACGAUGGAACGGCCAUUGAUACUGCCAGACUUGAAUUACUGGGAAGUAACUAGAAUAUGUAGUGUAGCGGUGAAAUGCUUAGAUAUUACAUGGAAUACCAAUUGCGAAGGCAGGUUACUGCCGGGGGAUUGACGCUGAUGGACGAAAGCGUGGGGAGCGAACAGG